rnacentral:rRNA from 1 species
AUUGAACGCUGGCGGCAGGCCUAACACAUGCAAGUCGAACGGUAGCACAGAGAGCUUGCUCUCGGGUGACGAGUGGCGGACGGGUGAGUAAUGUCUGGGAAACUGCCUGAUGGAGGGGGAUAACUACUGGAAACGGUAGCUAAUACCGCAUAACGUCGCAAGACCAAAGAGGGGGACCUUCGGGCCUCUUGCCAUCAGAUGUGCCCAGAUGGGAUUAGCUAGUAGGCGGGGUAAUGGCCCACCUAGGCGACGAUCCCUAGCUGGUCUGAGAGGAUGACCAGCCACACUGGAACUGAGACACGGUCCAGACUCCUACGGGAGGCAGCAGUGGGGAAUAUUGCACAAUGGGCGCAAGCCUGAUGCAGCCAUGCCGCGUGUGUGAAGAAGGCCUUCGGGUUGUAAAGCACUUUCAGCGGGGAGGAAGGCGGUACGGUUAAUAACCGUGCUGAUUGACGUUACCCGCAGAAGAAGCACCGGCUAACUCCGUGCCAGCCGCCGCAGUAA